rnacentral:rRNA from 1 species
AACGAACGCUGGCGGCAUGCCUAACACAUGCAAGUCGAACGAAGUCUUCGGACUUAGUGGCGCACGGGUGCGUAACGCGUGGGAAUCUGCCCUUGGGUGCGGAAUAACUUCUCGAAAGGGAUGCUAAUACCGCAUAAUGUCGUAAGACCAAAGAUUUAUCGCCCAAGGAUGAGCCCGCGUAAGAUUAGCUAGUUGGUGGGGUAAAAGCCUACCAAGGCGACGAUCUUUAGCUGGUCUGAGAGGAUGAUCAGCCACACUGGGACUGAGACACGGCCCAGACUCCUACGGGAGGCAGCAGUGGGGAAUAUUGGACAAUGGGCGAAAGCCUGAUCCAGCAAUGCCGCGUGAGUGAUGAAGGCCCUAGGGUUGUAAAGCUCUUUUACCCGAGAUGAUAAUGACAGUAGUC